UACGGAGGGUGCAAGCGUUAUCCGGAUUCACUGGGUUUAAAGGGUGCGUAGGUGGGCUGGUAAGUCAGUGGUGAAAUCUCCGGGCUUAACUCGGAAACUGCCAUUGAUACUAUCAGUCUUGAAUACCGUGGAGGUCAGUAGAAUAUGUCAUGUAGCGGUGAAAUGCUUAGAUAUGACAUAGAACACCAAUUGCGAAGGCAGCUCACUACACAAUCAUUGACGCUGAGGCACGAAAGCGUGGGGAUCAAACAGG
rnacentral:rRNA from 1 species